rnacentral:RNase_P_RNA from 1 species
CGAGUAAGACAGACGGUCGCGCGGCCAGGCCGAAAGGCCGGUCGUGAGGAAAGUCCGGGCUCCACAGGGCAAGGAUAACGGGUAACGCCCGCCGAAGGCGACUUCAGGAAAAGUGCAACAGAGAUAUACCGCCGUCGUCGACGCAAGCUCCAUAUCAUUCGUCGUUCUUUGCAGGCCCUCGCUAACUUCCGACGGAACCCAGCGAAGCGGUUCCGGAGGAAAGAGGAGACGCAACGAAACGAAUGAGACCUGCCGCACCAGCGGCGGGGCGAAGAAUGUGAAGUUUGCGUCGACGACGGUAAGGGUGGAAAGGUGCGGUAAGAGCGCACCCGAUGGCUGGAGACUGUCCAUCGCUGUAAACUCUAUCCGGAGCAACACCGGUAUGGGAGCAUUAGGCUGGCCCGGCCGCUCCCGGGGUGGCUUGAGCGUGUUGGCAACAGCACGUCUAGAUAGAUGACUGUCAAAUACAGAACCCGGCUUACAGUUUUGCUCGCAUA